ACUCAGGUGUGGGAGCACAAACCGUUCUUGCCAACAGCAGACAACAACGGCAGGAUGUGACUUUCCAGCCACGUCCGUAUCCUCUCUCUCCUCCUGCUCCCGGCCGCUUUCUGUUAACGACAACAGAUGAUUAGAUUAACAUGUACCACCUGCGAAAUCUAAUCACCUGCCGGCUGCGUCUCGCCAUCAGCACUGCCACGCCCCCGUCUGAUGGUGUUCAGGAACAUGGACAGUGGCGAUGACCUUUGCUCCUGCAGGCAGCGCUGACAACAUUUUUCUCCACAGCUGGCAAGAGCACAAGUAAUGGGGAUACCCAGAAAUGUGUAACGGCGGCGGGGGCAACCGUCUGGCAGCGGUGCAUCACCCCAGCAUCCCCGACCUUGGAGUAUCUUCCAAACACACCCGCUAUGGAGGGAGGAAGGUCACACUCAACCACGACCUGCCAAUCAACCGGUUUCUGUUCCCAGCUGUUCCUCAUUUCACCUGUUGAUCAACCAGCCAAUCCCGGUCCACUAUUCAUCCUCCUGUGCUGCUUUAAAUCACCUGCUCACCACUGGAAAGGGGAAUUCUUUUUCUGACAUGCUGUCUGGAGUUCUGAGAGACCCUACUUUGUCUUUGGCGACACUUUUUUUUUCUCUUCAGUUUUUUGGACCUUUCAACCUUUGUGAGUAUCUGCAGCCUAGUCUUGGGAAAGGUUAGACAGAGGCCUCUAUACACUACACACGUAGGAUUUUUGUUUGCCAUCUGGAACGUAACAAAGGUAAGCUUUUCUUGUUCGCUAUUCUGUUAGCUUCCUGUGCCUUUGGCACGCUGGUGCUCUUUUGUUUGAAUCCCACAUGUUUAUUGGACAAUCAAUUAUUUCCUUACCUGCACGUUGCCUCCUAGGAAAACAAUCCACGCAGUAAAGUGCGACCCCGCCGUGACAACUAUGACCAUACACUGCAAUUCUUGUAGAAAUGUCACUCAUAUCUUGGUUUUGAGUAUAUUUUAAUGGAAUAAAAAUAAUUUGAUCAGUAGUUGGGAAAGAGUAGGACAAACCAGCAGUAAAAUGUAUCAUUUUUAA